CAGUGGGGAAUAUUGGACAAUGGGGGAAACCCUGAUCCAGCAAUGCCGCGUGAGUGAUGAAGGCCUUAGGGUUGUAAAGCUCUUUUACCCGGGAAGAUAAUGACUGUACCGGGAGAAUAAGCCCCGGCUAACUCCGUGCCAGCAGCCGCGGUAAUACGGAGGGGGCUAGCGUUGUUCGGAAUUACUGGGCGUAAAGCGCACGUAGGCGGCUUGGUAAGUUAGAGGUGAAAGCCUGGAGCUCAACUCCAGAAUUGCCUUUAAGACUGCCGAGCUAGCAGGUGAGAGAGGUGAGUGGAAUUCCGAGUGUAGAGGUGAAAUUCGUAGAUAUUCGGAAGAACACCAGUGGCGAAGGCGGCUCACUGGCUCAUACUGGACGCUGAGGUGCGAAAGCGUGGGGAGCAAACAGGAUUAGA
rnacentral:rRNA from 1 species